rnacentral:rRNA from 1 species
GAUGAACGCUAGCUACAGGCUUAACACAUGCAAGUCGAGGGGCAGCAUGGUCUUAGCUUGCUAAGGCCGAUGGCGACCGGCGCACGGGUGAGUAACACGUAUCCAACCUGCCGUCUACUCUUGGACAGCCUUCUGAAAGGAAGAUUAAUACAAGAUGGCAUCAUGAGUCCGCAUGUUCACAUGAUUAAAGGUAUUCCGGUAGACGAUGGGGAUGCGUUCCAUUAGAUAGUAGGCGGGGUAACGGCCCACCUAGUCUUCGAUGGAUAGGGGUUCUGAGAGGAAGGUCCCCCACAUUGGAACUGAGACACGGUCCAAACUCCUACGGGAGGCAGCAGUGAGGAAUAUUGGUCAAUGGGCGAGAGCCUGAACCAGCCAAGUAGCGUGAAGGAUGACUGCCCUAUGGGUUGUAAACUUCUUUAUAAAGGAAUAAAGUAGGGAGUCGUGACUCUUUUUGCUAUGUACCUUAUGAAUAAGGA